UUAUAGGGCAUGGUAUGGCCUAGGUCAGAACAUAUGAAAUACUCAAACUUCCAGCUUACUGUUUGCACUACUUCAAGCAGGCUCAGAAAUUGCGACCAAAUGAUUCAAGAAUGCUUGUAGCCCUUGGUGAAGAGCUAUGAAAGAUUAGAGAAAUGGGAUGAAGCCAAGAAAUGUUUCCGCAAAGCACAUAGUGUGGGUGACAUUGAAGGUAUCGCUCUGCUAAGGUUAGCCAAGUUGUACAGUCGUUUAGGUGAAGGUGAACGUGCCAGUGUAUUAUAUGAACGAUACCUGCAAGAGACAGAAGAUGCUGGUCUGAGUGAAGACAGAGGCCAGGCGUACCAGUUUCUUGCAAAUCAUUUUUUACAAAAAAACAUUCUUGAUUUGGCAUAUUGUUAUGCACAGAAAUGCACCUUAUUUAUGGAGACUAGGGAGAGUGGUAAAACAAUGCUGAGAGAAAUUGCUAAUAGACGGCAGCACACUGAGCAGAAUACUCAGGAUGAUUGUGGCAGCAUCUUGGUGAGCAGAGUGAGAUCAAGAGUAACUUUAGGUAAUGAACGUUCUUCUUCUUCAAGAUUACCCUCCCUGAACCUCACAUACACACCAUAACAGGAUUUCAAACUAGAAACUUUUAAAUUCUACUAUUUCUUCUUAUUCAUUUCCAG